rnacentral:rRNA from 1 species
GACGAACGCUGGCGGCGUGCUUAACACAUGCAAGUCGAACGGAAAGGCCCUGCUUUUGUGCGGUGCUCGAGUGGCGAACGGGUGAGUAACACGUGUGUAACCUGCCCUUGACUUUGGGAUAACUUCUGGAAACUGGGGCUAAUACCGGAUAGGAGCUCCUGCUGCAUGGUGGGGGAUGGAAAGUUUCGGCGGUUGGGGCUGGACUCGCGGGUUAUCAGCUUGUUGGUGGGGUAGUGGUUUACCAAGGCUUUGACGGGUAGCCGGCCUGAGAGGGUGACCGGCCACAUUGGGACUGAGAUACGGCCCAGACUCCUACGGGAGGCAGCAGUGGGGAAUAUUGCACAAUGGGCGGAAGCCUGAUGCAGCAACGCCGCGUGCGGGAUGACGGCCUUCGGGUUGUAAACCGCUUUCGCCUGUGACGAAGCGUGAGUGACGGUAAUGGGUAAAGAAGCACCGGCUAACUACGUG